rnacentral:lncRNA from 1 species
GAAUACCUGCUUUCUUCAACUCUGUGGCUGUGAAAGGUGGGCAAAGAUCUUCUUCUUUGUUGUUGUCUUCUUCUUCUAUAUCAUCUCCAAGUAAAACACCGAUCCAUACGUCUUUAUAAUAUUGAAGAAGAUGUACAGGAGCUUGAGCCUCCCCCUGCUGACGUUGAAGACAAGAGACACCCUUGAUAUAAUCAAGAAAUGUAGGACUUGGAGCAGAAGAUAUGUUUAACAGCGGCAUUUGGAGGAACCUUGUGGUUAAAAGGUCCAACGUAAACUCUUCACAUCUAAAUGCACGUGCUAGCGCGUCUAUGACCUGGAAAGGCAGUUGAUUAUCAUACAAUAAUAGGUCAUGACGCACCAAAUCUCUAUCACGUUUCUUCACAUUCAACCAGCUCCUCCUGCAACUAGUAAUUAUAUUGUCGUUGCAGAUGAAUUCAAUAAUAAAGCAGGCGUCGAGGAACAUCAUCAGACACCACAUAGGGUCACUUGUUUGUUCGAAUCGAGGAGAGUAAAAUUUCCGAGUUUUGAGCAAUUGUUCUUCUACUCUUGCAUACACUUUUUCAAUGGAUACAUCGUCUUUUACUCUUUCUGCUAAUUCCAUCACUGCUUUCCGCUUUAAAUAUUCCAUGGGUUUAACAUGAGGUUUUUCAUGGUGGAUUGGACCAAUGGAAACCGCACGGGGACCAAAGAACUUCUGAUAAAUUUCCUUUCCCAUAGGCUCGGUAAGUGUAGAUGGAAUACCGAAAUGUAUUUCUUGUGUCGACUCUUGAUGUGGCAUUGUACCUAACGGAAAGCCAGGUAUAUCAAUGGCAGAAUGUAACCAGUCAGCCACUUCGGCUGCUCUACUGUUGAGAGCAUCAGCCUCAUGAAUCGACAUUUGAGAUAUUUAUAUAUGUAUAUGCAGAUAGAUGAUAAGAUCAGUUGGACCAUCCAAGCAUAUAUAUAUCGAGAAUGAAAAUUAUGAAUCUACCGUAAGAUCUUGCACUUCAAUCAGUAUCUGCAAAAAGCUACAAGUUUUUAUAGCUUUACUUCGAUACCAAGUCUGGCAUCUUUAGCAUUAAGAGUGCCUUUAUUCUCAACUUAAUACACUAACAAAGGCAGAUUCUAAUAUUCUACUCUUCCUGUCUGUUUAUAUCAUUAGUAUUUUCUUUUUUGGAUAAUCGUGGUGUUCGGGUCAGCUUGCACGCAUCUCCACUGGUUCCACAGAAUGCAUCAAUUCUAUGGCAAUGUUUGUUUAUAGAUCAAAGUUUCUACGUAAUGCAGCUAGAUUCAUAAUUCAUAAAAAAUGCCGGCUUAAAAGCUUAGUCUUUUGGUUUGAGCAUGUGAAGAGAUGUGCAAAUGUGAGAGGAUAGAUUUAGUGGAUACUAGGAGAGGUAGAUUUAGUCCUAUGAUGUAUUUUAGAGAGGUGACUAGACAAGAAAUGACACAACAUCAGCUUACCGAAGACAUGACCUUAUAUAAGAGGGUAAGGAGGUCGCGGAUUAGGGUAGAAGGUCAGUAGGUAGUUGCGCGUUGGUUUGCUUUACAAUACGAUUAAGCUUGGUGGUAGUCUAGCGCACCGUAUCAGUCAUACUAUUAGCCUUAUUCUUGUAGUUGCUUGUUUCCGUUAUCUGUCACCAUCGUUGUUUUUCCUUUUGAUCUUCACCGAAAUGCUAAUUGUAAAAUAGUAUAAGACUGCGUACAAUAGAUCCUACGGCCCAGCCCUUCCUCGAACCACUCACAUAGCAGGAGCUUAGUACACCGAGCUGGGUUUCCCUUUAGCGCACGAAGACAACUGCUGUUUUUAUCUUUUGAACAGCCAAAGCUUUGAGCAAGCAAAUUGCAUGUUUCUUCAGUGAGCUAUUUGGAAGCUACUAGGAUAAUAGUACUAAAUGAACCUCCACAAUUCAAUAAUUCAACUUUAAUAGUUGGUGUAUCGACAAAUAUUUCUCGAGCACAGAUUUAGUGGGAAAGUAAAACGGAACACCUAACAACACAUCUUUACAGACCAAAAACAACACGAUGACGUUUUUCAUUUUGGGGUAACGGAGGAUAACUUUCUUGGCAGAUUUUGGUGUUACGGGAUCCUUACGUCAUUUGUUGGAGAUGGGGAACCAUCGCACUAUGGUAAAAGAUGUCAUCGUAUAUAUGACCAGGUGGGCACGAUCUGAAUAAGAUAUCUGCAUAAGGAAUCGCAACAUGGCUGCAACUCUAUAAUCAUACAUGGACUAUAGGCCUAAGUCUGAGCUGAACUAACUUCUCUCACCAUGUUCAAGACUACUCAAAGUCACACGGUACCACAGAUAACACCAUAAUACUAGUGUAAACCACGGAUUCAAUAUCCUAUGCGUUUUCGCAUCUCUGAUCUCAAGAAUAACACUCCUUACCACUACAACAAUGCAUUUAUCCACGUAUAUACAGACAUGACAUUCAAGCCUAUCAUUUGCUUAUGAACUUCCAGGCAACCAACCCACCUAGAAAUUCUUCCACGUUCUCAAAUAUCUCUUGUCAAUAACAACUCCCAUGCACUAUCCCCAAUAAAACACGCAUAGAAUUCUCAACCAACCCAUGAUCUACACCAAAAGCUUUACCUCAAUCUUCCUUCAACCUUGUAGCCUUGUAUAAAAACAAGCAUACAAUAAUCUUUCCUCAACAAGAAACAUCUACUCUCUCCCAUCUAAACCAUUGAUCAUCAAUUUUUCAUCGCCACUACCUUAACAUAAGGAGAGGUCACUGAAAGGUUAGAUCAUGAGGACUUGAAGCGUGAAAGAAUACUAUGCAUAACGUGACACUUAACUGAGGCCUGAGGAAUAGAGUAUCAAAGGCACGAAUUCAUUAAAGAGAUCUAAUCUGGGACGUACAUGACAUAAUCUGAGUUUCGCUCAUCGCUAAGAGUGUACCAUGAGUUAUGGGAACUGAGCAUACUGUAAAGCAUGUACAUGAGUCAUGAGCUGCGUGACUUGAGUUUGCAGUUCAUAAAUUCAUGGAAUAGAUUUGUACUGCUGAAGUGAUCGGGAACUCCUCGUACUAGGAACUGAAAGCGUACAUGAUUCUAGAGAAAGUGCAUGAAGAUGAGUUAUGAUCAUAGAGCUGACUUGUAAGGCUUGAGUAGAUAUCGUGAUAACUGAAGUACAACAAUUCACACUGAGAUGAUAAUGGGUUGGGCAUCUUCCUCCCCUACUGAUGUUCUACAACACACUGGCAUCACUAUUAGAAUCUAAGAGCCUGACUUGGUUCCUUGUUCAAUCAUCUCUCCCGUAGUUUAAGCCAUUGUUCUAAAUUUGUGGACCCCUUCAAUAAACUCUAAACUGAACUUCAACCACUUUACUCUAGAGUCCGAGAUAUAACAAUGCACAUAAUUAAUAACUCACCUUGAAAGACUAUAUCCGAAAGUGUAAAGCCCAUUGCUAAUACUUCUAAGAUAGAACACUUAACUUUUAAUAUCCCCGAUUAUCAUCCUAUAAUAACUUAAAUACUGACUAACUUAGAAUUUUCAGGAGUAUUACCAUACCCUAAGUUUGCACAAUCUAGAAUUUCAAUUCAUCUUUCUAUUAGCUCAGUCCUCCAAGAUUCAAACUUAGAUUCUAACACAUAACAUGGAUAUCCAAAAAUGCUAACUUCAUUCUUGAACACACCCUUAACGUAUAUCAUCCUUAACAUCCUUAAAAGUGGCUAUUCCUCAAGAUUCGACGAAUAAUGAGAAAUUACAAUUGCAUACAAAUAUGCAGUUGAACAAGGCUUAGUUAUUGUUUUGUUCAAAUACAACAACAAUCAAAAUACAACUUAUGAAUAUACAAUAGCUCAAGAAAAAGUGGAAUGAAAUGUAGAUAAGAGUAUACAGUCAGUCUAUUUGUAAGUCUGAAUGGCUGUGAGGACAGUCUGAAUUACAGUCAUACCAACCGUGAAAAUAACAGCAAGGAACACAAGGAAACUCCAAGGACCACUAAAAUACCUUUGCUUCAUUUCAGCACGGGCAACUACUAGAGGGAAGCGUUUACUUCUGAAAUAAGUAGAAAUCUGUCGUUUGACAUUCCUAAUAGCUUGAGGAUUUAACACAGUAGGUGCUGACAUUUCUCUCAAGAAUCUAAUCAGUUCACCAUCGCCAGCAGCGAUGUUGAUCUGGAUUAUUCCUCUGGCUCGCAGCUCCUUAACAUCUUCCUCUCCGUUAAUUAACAUACACGUGAAAUUCAAGUAAGAUAAAAUCCCAAAAGAUCUAUUUUGGGAUCUAUUCUAUAAGUUGCAUGCAUAUUCAUAAGCAAAUAGGUUAUGAAAAAGGUACAUAGUCUAUUCGUCGAUAGUUAAUUGGAAGGAAUAACGUUCCCGAUAAGAUGGAUGACUCAAAGCGGAUGCCUUUGGAAAGAUCACUUGCACAGAUACAUCGAAUACCUGCUUUCUUCAACUCUGUGGCUGUGAAAGGUGGGGAAACCGCAAGAUGAUAUUCUUCUUCUUUGUUGUUGUUGUCGUCUUCUUCUACAUCAUCUCCAAAUAAAACACUGAUCCAUAGGUCUUUAUAAAAUUGAAGAAGAUGUAUAGGAGCUUGAGCCUCCCCCUGCUGACGUUGAAGACAAGAGACACCCUUGAUAUAAUCAAGAUACAUAGGAGUUGGAGCAGAAGAUAUGUUUAACAACGGCAUUUGGAGGAACCUUCUCGUUAAAAGGUGCAAUGUAAACUCGUCACAUCUAAAUGCCCGUUAUAGCGCAUUUAUAACCUGGAAAGGCAAUUGAUUAUCAUACAAUAAUAGGUCACGACGCACCAAAUCUCUGUCACGUUUCUUCAUAUUCAACCAGCUCCUCUUGCCACUAGUAAUUAUAUUGUCUUUGUAGAUGAAUUCAAUAAUAAAGCAGGCGUUGAGGAACACCAUCUGACACCACAUACCGUCAUCCGCUUGUUUGAACAGAGGAGAGUAACAGUUCUUUGUUUUGAGCAAGUGUUCUUCAACACUUGCAUACACCUGUUCAAUGGAUACAUCGCCUCUUACUCUUUCUGCUAAUUCAGUCACUGCUUUCCACUUGAAAUCCUCCAUGGGCUUAACAUGAGGUAAUUCAUGGUGGCGUGGACCAAUGGAAACCACAAUGGGACCAUAGAGCUUGAGGUAAUAUUCCUUUGCCAUAAGAUCGGUAAUUGUAGAAGGAAAACUGAAAUGUAUUUCUUGUGUCAACUCUUCAUGUGGCGCUGUACCUACUGAAAAGCCAGGUAUAUCAAUGAUAGAAUGUAACCAUUUAACCAUUUCGGCUGCUCUACUGUUGGGAGCAGCAGCCUCAUGAAUCGACAUCUGAGAUAUAUUUAUAUAUAUAUAUAUCAACAAGAGUACAAUAGAUAGGUUACAAAAUUAGAAAUAUCCCAAGAGAACAACCUCACAAGAUCGAUCACUCCAAAAGAAAGGGCUCACAAAAGUGUUUCCCAACACCCACUUUUUCACUAAAUACUCUAAUAGGAAGGGAGAAUAAAUACAAGAGAAUGAAAGAAAAACUCAAGAGAAUGAAAGAAAAACUCUUGCAUUAAUAAAAUAUAUUGACUUACUAAAAUAAACUAAGUCAAUGCGAGUUGGGUGUGUGAAAGCAGAUCUGUCUUUCACUCAAGUUGGAUUAUUGUAUAUUUGUUCUGGUUGGAGAAAACUGGCAUCCUAAGAGUUGACUGUUAAUGGACAUGUGGAGUUGUAGGAGUGUUAUUCUCAUAGCCAUAUAAUAAAUUGGAAAAUCAACUGUCAUGUGACUGGAAAGUCACGUGUUCAAGCCGUGGAAAAAGGCUCGAGUGUGUUAUUCCCUUUAGCGCACUAAGACAACUACUGUUUUUAUCUCUUGAACAGCCAAAGCUUUGAGCAAGCAAAUUGCAUUUUUCUUCAGAGUUUUAUUGGAAGCUACUAGGAUUAGGAUGUAUGUAAUAGUACUAAAUGAACCUCCACAAUUCAAUAAUACAACACUAAUAGUUGGUGAAUCGACAACUAUUUCUCGAGCACAGAUUUAGUGGGAAAGUAAAACGGAGCACCUAACAACACAUCUUUACAGACCAAAAACAACAAGAUGACCUUUUUCAUUUUGGGGUAACAGAGGAUCAUAUCAUUCGAGUCUUUUCUUUUGACUAAAAAUAGAAGCACGUUUUGAAAAAUGAUAGUUAAGCGUGUAGGAUUAGGCUAGAAGAGUGUCUUAACUUGUUCGGGACUUAAAACAUAGAUGUAACAAGGGAGAUAAAAACAUAUUAAUCCAUGUGAUUUAAGCAAACCACCAGUCCAUUCACAACUUGCUGACAGUGGUUCAUCCAUGUGCUUCCUAAUGAAUCCAAUUCCACGAGUUCUCAUCAAGUAAACUCAGCAAUAAUUCUAUAAGAUUCUUUGAUAAGGUAUUAAAUUUCAUCAAAGAAAGGGUGAAAAACAUGCCCCAUACAAGAAGUAUAGCAAAAACAGAAAGCGUUACAGAAAGACAUAGUUUUUUAUGAAUGAUAUCAAGUCAUUUAUACAAAUAAGAACCUUAUCGGUCUACCAACAGGAAAUAAGGGAGAAGUGGCUAUUCCUCGAGAUACGAUGAAUACAUGAAAAAGUACAAUUACAUAUGAAUAGGCAGCCGAGCAAGGCCUUGUUAUUGUUUUAUUCAAUACAACCACAACCAAAAUACAACUUAUGAAGAAUGAAGAUACAAUAGCUCAAGAAAAAGUGGAAUGAAAUGUAGAUAGGGGUAUAUAGUCGGUCUAUUUGUAAGUCUGAAUGGCUGUGAGGACAGUCUGAAUUACAGUCAUACCAACCGUGAAAAUAACAGCAAGGAACACAAGGAAACUCCAAGGACCACUAAAAUACCUUUGCUUCAUUUCAGCACGGGCAACUACUAGAGGGAAGCGUUUACGUCUGAAGUAAGUAGAAAUCUGUCGUUUGACAUUCCUACUAGCUUGAGGAUUCGACUCAGUAGGUACUGUUAUUUCUCUCAAGAAUCUAAUUAGUUGCUCAUCGCCAGCAGCGAUGUUGAUCUCAAUUACUCCUCUGGCUCGCAGCUCCUUAACAUCUUCCUCUCCGUUAAUUAACAUACACAUGAAAUUCAAGUAAGAUGAGAUCCCAAAAGAUCUAUUUUGGGAUCUAUAUUGUAAGCUGCAUGCAUAUUCAUAAGCAACUAUGUUAUGAAAAAGGUACAAAGUCCAUUCGUUGAUCGUUAUUUUCGGAAGGAAUAACAUUCCUGAUAAGAUGGAUGACUCAAAACGGAUGCCUUUGGAAAGAUCACUUGCACAGAUACAUCGAAUACCUGCUUUCUUCAACUCUGUGGCUGUGAAAGGUGGGCAAAUCGCAAGAUGAUCUUCUUCUUCUUUGUUACUGUUGUCUUCUUCUUCUUCUACAUCAUCUCCAAAUAAAACACUGAUCCAUAUGUCUUUAUAAAAUUGAAGAAGAUGUACAGGAGCUUUCUGACGUUGAAGACAAGAGACACUUGAUAUAAUCAAGAAACAUAGGAGUUGGAGCAGAAGAUAUGUUUAACAACGGCAUUUGGAGGAACCUUAUGGUUAACAGGUCCAACGUAAACUCUUCACAUCUAAAUGCAUGUGCUACCACGUCUAUAACCUGGAAAGGCAAUUGAUUAUCAUACAAUAAUUGGUCAUGACGCACCAAAUCUCUAUCACGUUUCUUCAUAUUCAACCAGCUCCUCUUGCCGCUAGUAAUUAUAUUGUCGUUGUAAAUGAAUUCAAUAAUAAAACAAGCGUCGAGGAACAUCAUCAGACACCACAUACCGUCAUUCAUUUGUUUGAACUUAGGGGAGUAACAGUUCCUAGUUUUGAGCAAGUGUUUUUCAACAUUCGCAUACACCUGUUCAAUGGAUACACCGUCUUUUAAUCUUUCUGCUAAUUCCCUCACUGCUUUCCUCUUGAAAUUCUCCAUGGGCUUAACAUGAGGCAAUUCAUGGUGGUGUGGACCAAUGGAAACCACACGGGGACCAAAGAAUUUGUGAUAAAGUUCCUUUAUCAUAAGAUCGGUAAGUGUAGAAGGAAUACUGAAAUGUAUUUCUUGUGUCGACUCUUCAUGUACUGAAGAGCCAGGUAUAUCAAUGGCAGAAUGUCCAGUCAGCCACUUCGGCUGCUCUACUGUUGGGAGCAUUAGCCUCAUGAAUCGACAUUUGAGAUAUAUAUAUGUAAAUGCAGAUAGAUGAUUAGAUCAGUUAGAUCAUCCAAGCAUACAUAUACCGAGAAUGAAAAUUAAGAUCUUGCACUUCAAUCAGUAUCUGCAAAAGCUACAAAUUAUAGCUUUACCUCGAUACCAAGUCUGGCAUCUUUUGCAUUAAGAGUGCCUUUAUUCUCAACUUAACUCACUAGCAAAGGCAGAUUCUAAUAGUCUACUCUUCCUGUCUGUCUGUUUAUAUCAUUAUCAUCCUUAAAACUACAAAUUUGAAUGUCAUGUGUGAAUCAUUUUUUUAAAAGAUGAUUGAGGUGUUCGGAUCAGCUUGCACGCAUCUCCACUUGUUCCGCGGAGGUCUCAGUCAAGUGCUGUUCAUUGAUAGUUACCCUCUAUUAAUCCUUUCUUGGUCAUGUGUCAAUGUCACUUUUGUUAAAGGAUAGGUAUGAUCUCUAUCAAUACUCUCUUUUACAUACCACUUUUUGUCAUAUAAUUGCAAACUUCUCAUUUAAUUUAUGUGCCAAAAACACUUAAAGUAUUGUGAUAAUUAUUUUAAUGUACAUAUAAUUAAAAAGCAAAGAUAUGAAAGUGAUCCCAAGUCCCACAUUUGUCUCUCUUUUCACUAACAUUAACACAUCAAGCCAACUAAGUCCCAACUGGACUACACUGUGAUUUCAUUUGCUUUAAUAUUGUUACUAUUUAUGUUUACUUUUUGAUGGGGAGCCAUCGCACUAUGGUAAAAGAUUUCUUUCGUGCGACCAGGAGGUCACAGGUUCAAACCACAGAAGGAACAUCUUGCAGGAAUGUAAGUAAGGUUGCGUACGUAUGAUCCAAUGUGAUCUUGCCCUUCCAGGAGCCCUGUGCAUAGAGGGACACAUUGGGCUUCCCUUUCUUGAGCAUCUAUUGUGUAGACACACAAGAAGUAUACCAAAAGCAGAAACCGUUACAAAUAAGAACCUUAUAGGUGCACCAAAAGAAAAUAGGGGAAAAGUGGUUAUUCCUCAAGAUACGAUGAAUACAUGAAAAAGUACAGUUACAUACAAAUAUGCAGGUGACGAGGCCAUGUUAUUGUUUUAUUCAAAUACAACUUGUGAAGAUACAAGAGCACGUUCAAGAAAAAUGCAGAAUAAAAUGUUGAUAGGGGUGCACAGUCAGUCUAUUUGUAAGUCUGAAUGCCUGUGAGGACAGUUUGAAUUACAGUCAUACCAACCGUGAAAAUAACAGCAAGGAACACAAGAAAACUCCAAGGACCACUAAAGUACCUUUGCUUCAUUUCAGCACAGGCAACUACUAGGGAGAAGCGUUUACUUCUGAAAUAAAUAGAAAUCUGUCGUUUGACAUUCCAAAUAGCUUGAGGAUUGGACUCGGUAGGUUGUGCUAUGUUUCUCAAGAAUCUAAUCAAUUGAUCAUCACCAGCAACGAUGUUGAUCUGGAUUACUCCUGCUUCCCUUUCUUGAGCAUCUAUUGUGUAGACACACAAGAAGUAUACCAAAAGCAGAAACCGUUACAAAUAAGAACCUUAUAGGUGCACCAAAAGAAAAUAGGGGAAAAGUGGUUAUUCCUCAAGAUACGAUGAAUACAUGAAAAAGUACAGUUACAUACAAAUAUGCAGGUGACGAGGCCAUGUUAUUGUUUUAUUCAAAUACAACUUGUGAAGAUACAAGAGCACGUUCAAGAAAAAUGCAGAAUAAAAUGUUGAUAGGGGUGCACAGUCAGUCUAUUUGUAAGUCUGAAUGCCUGUGAGGACAGUUUGAAUUACAGUCAUACCAACCGUGAAAAUAACAGCAAGGAACACAAGAAAACUCCAAGGACCACUAAAGUACCUUUGCUUCAUUUCAGCCUGUGUCUGUGAAAGGUGGGAACACCGCAAGAUGAUCUUCUUCUUCUUUGUUGUCGUUGUUGUCUUCUUCUUCUGCAUCAUCUCCAAAUAAAACAUUGAUCCAUAGGUCUCUAUAAUACUGAAGAAGAUGUACAGGAGCUUGAGCCUCCCCCUGCUGAUGUUGAAGAUAAGAGACACCCUUGAUAUAAUCAAGAUACGUAGGAGUUGGAGCAGAAGAUAUGUUUAAAAACGGCAUUUGGAGGAACCUUCUUGUUAAAAGGUGCAAUGUAAACUCGUCACAUCUAAAUGCCCGUGCUAGCGCAUCUAUGACCUGGAAAGGCAAUUGAUUAUCAUACAAUAAUAGGUCACGGCGCACCAAAUCUCUGUCACGUUUCUUCAUAUUCAACCAGCUCCUCUUGCCGCUAGUAAUUAUAUUGUCGUUGUAGAUGAAUUCAAUAAUAAAGUACACCUGUUCAAUGGAUACAUCGUUUUUUACUCUUUCUGCUAAUUCCCUCACUGCUUUCCGUUUGAAAUUCUCCAUGGGUUUAACAUGAGGUAAUUUGUGGAAGUGUGGACCAAUGGAAACAACACGGGGACCAAAGAACUUGUGAUAAAGUUCCUUUAUCAUAAGAUUGGUAAGUAUAGAAGGCAUACUGAAAUGUAUUUCUUGUGUCGACUCUUCAUCAUGUGGCGCUGUACCUACUGAAGAGCCAGGUAUAUCAAUGACAGAAUUUAACCAGUCAGGCACUUGGGCUGCUCUACUGUUGGGAGUAUCAGCGUCAUGAAUCGACAUUUGGGAUAUAUAUGUGUAUGCAGAUGGAAGAUAAGAUCAGUUGGACCAUCCAAGCAUAUAUAUACUGAGAAUGAGAUUUUGCACUUCAAUCAAUAUCUUCAAAAAGCUACAAGUUCUUAUAGCAUUACUUCGAUAGCAAGUCUUGCAUCUUUUGCAUUACGAGUACCUUUAUUCUCAACUUAACAUAUUAACAAAGGCAGAUUCUAGUAUUCUACUCUUCCUGUCUGUUAAGAUCAUUAUCAUCCUUAAAACUGCAAAUUUGAACGUCACGUUUGAAUCCUUUUUGUUUUUGUGAUAAUCGUGGUGUUCGGUUCAGUUUGAUCACAUCUCCACUGGUUCCACAGAAUGCAUCAAUUCUAUGGCAAUGCUUGUUUAUAGACCAAAGUUUCUACGAAAUGCAGCUAGAUUCAAUCAAAGAAUCUUCCUUAAUAAUAAAUCAUCACAAUUCAUAAAAAAUGCCGGCUUAAAAGCUGUCCUUUGGUUUGAGCAUGUGAAGAGGAUUGAUUUAGUCGAUACGAGGAGAGGUUGAUUUAGGCCUACGAUGAUGCAUUGGAGAUAAGUGACUAGACAAGAAAUGAGACAACAUCAGCUUACUGAGGAUAUGUCCUUAUAUAAGAGCAUAUGGAGGUCGCAGAUUAGGAUAAAAGGUUAGUAGGUAGUUGAGCGUGGUUUGCUUUACAAUAGGAUUAAGCUUGGUGAUAGUCUAGCGCACCGUAUCAGUCAUUAUCUGUCACCAUCUUUUAUUCCUUGCCUAUAUGCUUUGCAUGGCUUUCCUAUUAGUUUGCCAUGUUUCUUAGUUGUUGUUUUUCAUUUUAUUUCUACUUUGAGUGUAUUGCUUGAGCCGAGGGUCUUUCAAAAAAGUCUCUCUACCUCCACGAGGCUCUACACUCCUCAGACCCUACUUUGUGCGAUUUUACUGUGGCCAUAAUAUAUGCUUGACAUUUGAUUCUUUAUUGAUUGUUCUCUUCUGUCUCUUCGUUUAUAAAAUGAAAACAACAAAAUAUACAGUGAAAUCCCACCAACAGGAGUCACUCCAUAUUCAUCAAAUCACAGCAAAUUAAAAAGAAAACUAACCUUCCUCUAGAUCUUCACCCAAACGAUAGCUACUAUAUAGGAUAAACACUGCGUACGAUAGAUCCUUGUAGUCCAACCCUGCCUCGAACCAUUCACAUAGCAUGGACCUUAGUACACCGAGCUGGGUUUCCCUUUAGCGCAUGACUACAACUGCUGUUUUUAUCUCUUGAACAGCCAAAGCUUUGCGCAAGCAAAUUGCAUGUUUCUUCAGGGAGUUAUUUGGAAGCCACUAGGAUUAGGAUGUACAUAAUAGUACUAAAUGAACCUCCACGAUUCAAUAAUACAACAUUAAUAGUUGGUGUAUCAACAACUAUUUCUCGAGCACAGAUUUAGUGGGAAAGUAAAACGGAUCACCUAACAACACAUCUUUACAGAUCAAAAACAACAAGAUGACCUUUUUCAUUUUGGGGGCAACGGAGGAUCAUAUCAUUCGAGUCUUUUCUUUUGACUCCUUACGUCAUUUGUUGGAGAUGAGGAGCCAUGCACUAUGGUAAAAGAUGUCAUCGUGUGACCAGGAGGUCACAGGUUCAAGUGCAGGAAUUAAGUAAGGCUGUGUACAUAAUAUCCAAUGUGAUCUUUCCCUUCCAGGAGCGCCGUGUAUAGAGAGACAUUUGGCUUCCCUUUCUUGAGCAUCUAUUGUGUAGACACGUGGAGUCAAUCAAGUGAAAGAUGAAUUUAAAGCCAUAUUCGUCGCUUACAUGGAUGAAGCAUUGUCUGCAGUGACUGGUUCAUGAACUGUAUCAUGAAACAAGAGCACGACUUAGGAGCUCCUCAAUUCGCCGAGUCCCUAUAAUCCACAGAAAGAAGAUGAGCAAACUGGUCUGUGAAAUGUGAUAGCCAUAGACAUUGGUCUUUCAUCUGCUGUAAAUUUCUCAUCAUCUUUCUGAACAAGAAAAAUGAAUUGGCAAAUACAAAUCAUGACUGCUCUAUGAACUGUUCGAGAUCAAAACAUGACUAGAGCUGUUCGAGAUCAAAACAUGACUAUCAGUUGAUCAACGAAUUCAAUUCCACGAGUUCUCAUCAAGUAAACUCAUCAGUAUUUCUAUAAGAUUCUUUGAUAAGGUACUAAAUUUCAUCAAACAAAGGGUGAAAAACAUGCCCCAUACAAGAAGUAUAGCAAAAGCAGAAAGCGUUACAGAAAGACAUAGGUUUUUAUGAAUGAUAUCAAGUCAUUUUUACAAAUAAGUUUUUUAUGAAUGAUAUCAAGUCAUUUNNNNNNNNNNNNNNNNNNNNNNNNNNNNNNNNNNNNNNNNNNNNNNNNNNNNNNNNNNNNNNNNNNNNNNNNNNNNNNNNNNNNNNNNNNNNNNNNNNNNNNNNNNNNNNNNNNNNNNNNNNNNNNNNNNNNNNNNNNNNNNNNNNNNNNNNNNNNNNNNNNNNNNNNNNNNNNNNNNNNNNNNNNNNNNNNNNNNNNNNNNNNNNNNNNNNNNNNNNNNNNNNNNNNNNNNNNNNNNNNNNNNNNNNNNNNNNNNNNNNNNNNNNNNNNNNNNNNNNNNNNNNNNNNNNNNNNNNNNNNNNNNNNNNNNNNNNNNNNNNNNNNNNNNNNNNNNNNNNNNNNNNNNNNNNNNNNNNNNNNNNNNNNNNNNNNNNNNNNNNNNNNNNNNNNNNNNNNNNNNNNNNNNNNNNNNNNNNNNNNNNNNNNNNNNNNNNNNNNNNNNNNNNNNNNNNNNNNNNNNNNNNNNNNNNNNNNNNNNNNNNNNNNNNNNNNNNNNNNNNNNNNNNNNNNNNNNNNNNNNNNNNNNNNNNNNNNNNNNNNNNNNNNNNNNNNNNNNNNNNNNNNNNNNNNNNNNNNNNNNNNNNNNNNNNNNNNNNNNNNNNNNNNNNNNNNNNNNNNNNNNNNNNNNNNNNNNNNNNNNNNNNNUUAAUUAACAUACACAUGAAAUUCAAGUAAGAUGAGAUCCCAAAGGAUCUGUUUUGGGAUCUAUUUUGUAAGCUGCAUGCAUAUUCAUAAUCAACUAGGUUAUGAAAAAGGUACACAGUCCAUUCGUUGAUCGUUAGUUUUGGAAGGAAUAACAUUCCUGAUAAGAUGGAUGACUCAAAGCGGAUGCCUUUGGCAAGAUCACUUGCACAGAUACAUCGAAUACCUGCUUUCUUCAAUUCUGUGGCUGUGAAAGGUGGGCAAACCGCAAGAUGAUAUUCUUCUUCUUUGUUGUUGUUGUCUUCUUCUUCUUCUUCAUCAUCUCCAAAUAAAACACUGAUCCAUAGGUCUUUAUAAAAUUGAAGAAGAUGUAUAGGAGCUUGAGCCUCCCCCUGCUGACGUUGAAGACAAGAGACACCCUUGAUAUAAUCAAGAUACAUAGGAGUUGGAGCAGAAGAUAUGUUUAACAACGGCAUUUGGAGGAACCUUAUCGUUAAAAGGUGCAAUGUAAACUCAUCACAUCUAAAUGCACGUGCUAGCGCAUCUAUGACCUGGUAAGGCAAUUGAUUAUCAUACAAUAAUAGGUCAUGACGCACCAAAUCUCUAUCAUGUUUCUUCAUAUUCAACCAGCUCAUCUUGCCGCUAGUAAUUAUAUUGUCGUUGUAGAUGAAUUCAAUAAUAAAACUAGCUUCGAGGAACAUCAUCAGACACUACAUACCGUCAUUCAUUUGUUUGAACCGAGGAGAGUAACAGUUCCGAGUUUUGAGCAAGUGUUCUUCAACAUUUGCAUACACCUGUUCAAUGGAUACAUCGCCUUUUCCUCUUUCUUCUAAUUCCCUCACUGCUUUCCGCUUGAAAUUCUCCAUUGGUUUAACAUGAGGUAAUUCAUGGUGGUUUGGACCAAUGGAAACCACACGGGGACCAAAGAACUUGUGAUAAAGUUCAUUUAUCAUAAGACCGGUAAGUGUAGAAGGAAUACUGAAAUGUAUUUCUUGUGUCGACUCUUCAUGUGGCGUUGUACCUACUGAAGAGCCAG